ACGAGUCAGUGUGUGUGUCUGACUCGAUCUGUCCCCGCGUCUCUGUCUCCUAGGCCCCGCUGUCAGUGCCCCCUGCCCGUCCGGCAUUAACACCCCCGCUCUCCGUCCGCGGCGGCAGUGUAACAACUACUGCUGCGCCGCGGCCAGUUUGUGAUAGCAGCGCAGCGGAAGGCUUUCAUAGCCCUCCCUGCGCCGCAUACUCACUGGGACCCGGCGCCUUCUCCCCCACGUGUGAUGUCACUGCCACCUGGCGCGCCCAGAUCCCUGGACUCCACAUCCCAGCACCUGACCAAAGUGAUGGAGAAGGAACGGGCAGAGCGGGUGCCGCUGCGGGGAGGUGAUGUUUGGACGCCGCACAGAUAUUACAGGUACCCCUAAUGGAUUCUACAUGGACAAGUGGACGUGAUCGGCGUGGGAUGUAGGAGAGUUCCUGAUGCAGGCAUAAAAAGAUGAAGAAGUGGUUGAAGAGGUCGUAUACACCUUGCGAGGUUGAGAUCAAGAAGUUCAUCAUCCAAUCUCUGGUUUCCCAUGUUUAUAUAUUUUUGUAACAUAAUGUAAUCAUUAGUAAAUUAUAAUAAAUAUUGAAAAUGAGAAAUUAAA